rnacentral:rRNA from 1 species
AUUGAACGCUGGCGGCAUGCUUUACACAUGCAAGUCGAACGGUAACAGGGAGCUUGCUCCGCUGACGAGUGGCGAACGGGUGAGUAAUAUAUCGGAACGUGCCCAGUCGUGGGGGAUAACGUAGCGAAAGUUACGCUAAUACCGCAUACGAUCUAAGGAUGAAAGCGGGGGACCGUAAGGCCUCGCGCGAUUGGAGCGGCCGAUGUCAGAUUAGCUAGUUGGUGGGGUAAAGGCCCACCAAGGCGACGAUCUGUAGCUGGUCUGAGAGGACGACCAGCCACACUGGGACUGAGACACGGCCCAGACUCCUACGGGAGGCAGCAGUGGGGAAUAUUGGACAAUGGGCGAAAGCCUGAUCCAGCAAUGCCGCGUGAGUGAUGAAGGCCUUAGGGUUGUAAAGGCUCUUUUACCCGAGAUGAUAAUGACAGUAUCGGGAGAAUAAGCUCCGGCUAACUCCGUG